rnacentral:rRNA from 1 species
AACCUUAGCGGCGGACGGGUGAGUAACGCGUGGGUAACCUGCCUCAUACAGGGGGAUAACAGUUAGAAAUGACUGCUAAAACCGCAUAAGCGCACAUUGUCGAGUGACAGAGUGUGAAAAACUCCGGUGGUAUGAGAUGGACCCGCGUCUGAUUAGCUAGUUGGUGAGGUAACGGCCCACCAAGGCGACGAUCAGUAGCCGGCCUGAGAGGGCGACCGGCCACAUUGGGACUGAGACACGGCCCAAACUCCUACGGGAGGCAGCAGUGGGGAAUAUUGCACAAUGGGGGAAACCCUGAUGCAGCGACGCCGCGUGAGUGAAGAAGUAUUUCGGUAUGUAAAGCUCUAUCAGCAGGGAAGAAGAAAGACGGUACCUGACUAAGAAGCCCCGGCUAACUACGUGCCAGCAGCCGCGGUAA